rnacentral:rRNA from 1 species
CCUACGGGUGGCAGCAGUGGGGAAUAUUGGACAAUGGGGGGAACCCUGAUCCAGCCAUGCCGCGUGUGUGAAGAAGGCCCUCGGGUUGUAAAGCACUUUCAGUGAGGAAGAACGCCUGGUGGUUAAUACCCAUCAGGAAAGACAUCACUCACAGAGGAAGCACCGGCUAACUCCGUGCCAGCAGCCGCGGUAAUACGGAGGGUGCGAGCGUUAAUCGGAAUUACUGGGCGUAAAGCGCGCGUAGGUGGCUUGAUAAGCCGGUUGUGAAAGCCCCGGGCUCAACCUGGGAACGGCAUCCGGAACUGUCAAGCUAGAGUGCAGGAGAGGAAGGUAGAAUUCCCGGUGUAGCGGUGAAAUGCGUAGAGAUCGGGAGGAAUACCAGUGGCGAAGGCGGCCUUCUGGACUGACACUGACACUGAGGUGCGAAAGCGUGGGUAGCAAACAGGAUUAGAUACCCUUGUAGUC